rnacentral:lncRNA from 1 species
AUAUGCCUCUUAACAAACUUUCAACAACUUUCAACCUCCAUAGUCUCAUCCUUGUCUUCUUUUUUAUCUUUCUUUAUAGAUAUAUCAUCCAAAAAUGGUAUGGUUUUUUUGAGAAUAAAUUCUUUCAAUAUUUGAUUUAUAGCAUUUUGUAUAUGAGCCACUAAAUUGGUUGCACCUUGAGGUAAGGUAUACAUUUUCAUUAAAUCCAAAGGAUUCUUCAUGGAGUUA